AACGAACGCUGGCGGCAGGCUUAACACAUGCAAGUCGAACGCCCCGCCAGGGGGGUGGCAGACUGGUGAGUAACGCGUGGCGACAUACCCUUUUCUACGUCGUAGCCCUGGGAUACUGGGAUUAAUACCGUAUAAGACCUACGGUGGUAAGGUUUACCGGGGAAGGGUGGGCGCGCGUUGGCUUCGCUCGUUGGGGGGGUAAAGGCGUACCAAGGCGACGAUCUAUAGCUGGUCUGAGAGGAUGAGCAGCCACAUUGGCACUGAGACACGGCCCAAACUACUACGGGAGGCAGCAGUGGGUAAUAUUGGACAAUGGGCGCAAGCCUGAUCCAGCCAUGCCGCGUGAGUGAUGAAGGCCUUAGAGUUGUAAAGCUCUUUCACCGAUGAAGAUAAUGACGGUAGUCGGAGAAGAAGCCCCGGCUAACUUCGUG
rnacentral:rRNA from 1 species